rnacentral:sRNA from 1 species
AUUUACCACUCGUACACUGCGGUUCCUGUGCGCCGUCCGCACCCGCCUGACGACUGCUCGCGACGUUUUGUUAGCC